CAGUCGCCGCGGGAAUACGUAGGGUGCGAGCGUUAAUCGGAUUUACUGGGCGUAAAGCGUGCGCAGGCGGCCCGUUAAGGCAGGUGUGAAAUCCCUGGGCUCAACCUAGGAAUUGCGCUUGUGACUGGCGGGCUCGAGUACAGUAGAGGGGGGUGGAAUUCCUGGUGUAGUAGUGAAAUGCGUAGAGAUCAGGAGGAACACCGAUGGCGAAGGCAGCCCCCUGGGCCUGUACUGACGCUCAUGCACGAAAGCGUGGGGAGCAAACAGGAUUAGAUACCCCAGUAGUCCCUGUCUCUUAUAC
rnacentral:rRNA from 1 species